AACGAACGCUGGCGGCAUGCCUAACACAUGCAAGUCGAACGAGACCUUCGGGUCUAGUGGCGCACGGGUGCGUAACGCGUGGGAACCUGCCCUUAGGUUCGGAAUAACUCCCCGAAAGGGGUGCUAAUACCGGAUAAUGUCUUCGGACCAAAGAUUUAUCGCCUUUGGAUGGGCCCGCGUUGGAUUAGCUAGUUGGUAGGGUAAAAGCCUACCAAGGCGACGAUCCAUAGCUGGUCUGAGAGGAUGAUCCGCCACACUGGGACUGAGACACGGCCCAGACUCCUACGGGAGGCAGCAGUGGGGAAUAUUGGACACUGGGCGAAAGCCUGAUCCCGCAAUGCCGCGUGAGUGAUGAAGGCCUUAGGGUAGUAAAGCUCUUUUACCCGGGAUGAUAAUGACAGUACCGGGAGAAUAAGCUCCGGCUAACUCCGU
rnacentral:rRNA from 1 species